rnacentral:rRNA from 1 species
GGUACGGGGGGCAAGCGUUGUUCGGAAUUACUGGGCGUAAAGGGCUCGUAGGUGGCCAACUAAGUCAGACGUGAAAUCCCUCAGCUUAACUGGGGAACUGCGUCUGAUACUGGAUGGCUUGAAUCCGGGAGAGGGAUGCAGAAUUCCAGGUGUAGCGGUGAAAUGCGUAGAUAUCUGGAGGAAUACCGGUGGCGAAGGCGGCAUCCUGGACCGGCAUUGACGCUGAUGAGCGAAAGCUAGGGGAGCAAACGGGG